UACGUAGGGUGCAAGCGUUGUCCGGAAUUAUUGGGCGUAAAGAGCUCGUAGGCGGUUCGUCGCGUCGGCUGUGAAAUCCCGAGGCUCAACCUCGGGUCUGCAGUCGAUACGGGCGGACUGGAGUUCGGCAGGGGAGACUGGAAUUCCUGGUGUAGCGGUGAAAUGCGCAGAUAUCGGGAGGAACACCGGUGGCGAAGGCGGUUCUCUGGGCCUUACCUGACGCUGAGGAGCGAAAGCGUGGGGAGCGAACAGG
rnacentral:rRNA from 1 species